rnacentral:rRNA from 1 species
GAUGAACGCUAGCGGCAGGCUUAACACAUGCAAGUCGAGGGGUAGAGGAAGCUUGCUUCCUUGAGACCGGCGCACGGGUGCGUAACGCGUAUGCAAUCUACCUUAUACAGGGGAUAGCCAGAGAAAUUUGGAUUAAUACCCCAUAGCAUAAUUGAAUGGCAUCAUUUAAUUAUUAAAGUUCCAACGGUAUAAGAUGAGCAUGCGUCCCAUUAGCUAGUUGGUGUGGUAACGGCACACCAAGGCGACGAUGGGUAGGGGUCCUGAGAGGGAGAUCCCCCACACUGGUACUGAGACACGGACCAGACUCCUACGGGAGGCAGCAGUGAGGAAUAUUGGUCAAUGGGCGCAAGCCUGAACCAGCCAUGCCGCGUGCAGGAUGACGGUCCUAUGGAUUGUAAACUGCUUUGUACAGGAAGAAACACUCCCUCGUGAGGGAGCUUGACGGUACUGUAAGAAUAAGGAUCGGCUAACUCCGUGCCAGCAGCCGCGUAA